GCGCGAAAACUUUACAAUGCUGGCAACAGCGAUAAGGGAACCUCGAGUGCCAGGUUACAAAUCUGGCUGUCGAGAUGCCUAAAAAGCAUUUCAUAGCAAGGGUCGAGCAAGACCGGUGCCAGCCGCCGCGGUAACACCGGCGGCUCGAGUGGUAACCGUUAUUAUUGGGUCUAAAGGGUCUGUAGCCGGCCGGAUAAGUCUCUUGAGAAAUCUGGCAGCUUAACUGUCAGGCUUUCAGGAGAUACUGUCUGGCUCGAGGCCGGGAGAGGUGAGAGGUACUUCAGGGGUAGGGGUGAAAUCUUGUAAUCCUUGAAGGACCACCAGUGGCGAAGGCGUCUCACCAGAACGGACCUGACGGCAAGGGACGAAAGCUAGGGGCACGAACC
rnacentral:rRNA from 1 species